rnacentral:rRNA from 1 species
UGGGGAAUCUUGGACAAUGGGGGCAACCCUGAUCCAGCCAUGCCGCGUGAGUGAUGAAGGCCUUAGGGUCGUAAAGCUCUUUCGCCUGUGAAGAUAAUGACGGUAGCCGGAGAAGAAGUCCCGGCUAACUCCGUGCCAGCAGCCGCGGUAAUACGGAGGGGGACUAGCGUUGUUCGGAAUUACUGGGCGUAAAGAGUUCGUAGGCGGACUAGCAAGUUAGAGGUGAAAUCCCAGGGCUCAACCUUGGAACUGCCUUUAAAAGCUGCUAGUCUAGAGACCGGAAGAGGUUAGGGGAAUACCUAGUGUAGAGGUGAAAUUCGUAGAUAUUAGGUGGAACACCAGUGGCGAAGGCGCCUAACUGGUCCGGUACUGACGCUGAGGAACGAAAGCGUGGGGAGCAAA